rnacentral:snRNA from 1 species
UUUUCGCCGCUUUCAAGCACUU